AUUGAACGCUGGCGGCAUGCCUUACACAUGCCAGUCGAACGGUAACAGGUCUUCGGAUGCUGACGAGUGGCGCACGGGUGAGUAAUACAUCGGAACGUGCCCAGACGUGGGGGAUAACGAGGCGAAAGCUUUGCUAAUACCGCAUACGAUCUAAGGAUGAAAGCAGGGGACCGCAAGGCCUUGCGCGUUUGGAGCGGCCGAUGGCAGAUUAGGUAGUUGGUGGGAUAAAAGCUUACCAAGCCGACGAUCUGUAGCUGGUCUGAGAGGACGACCAGCCACACUGGGACUGAGACACGGCCCAGACUCCUACGGGAGGCAGCAGUGGGGAAUUUUGGACAAUGGGCGAAAGCCUGAUCCAGCAAUGCCGCGUGCAGGAUGAAGGCCUUCGGGUUGUAAACUGCUUUUGUACGGAACGAAAAGGCUCUGGCUAAUACCUGGGGCACAUGACGGUACCGUAAGAAUAAGCACCGGCUAACUACGUG
rnacentral:rRNA from 1 species